CUGAAGUGGGACACAAUUGUGUGCCCUCGCUAGGGUAACCGGCACCGUCAGAUCUGGUAGGUUGCAUCAAAGCCGCAAAAAUAUAGAUUUUUUUUUGGGGUGCUAGGGUUAAUGGGAUCAGGCAAACGUGGGCAGGUUUUGUGAGGAGGAAGAAGAAAAGAAAAAGGCUGGUGGGGUUUGAGUAGUUCAGUAAUCUCUCAAGUCCAAUAUUCUUCUUGGGAUUUGUGGUAAAAAAGACUCUAAAUUCCUUCUAUAAAUACUGCCACUCCCACUUUUCUUCUUUCCAAGCCAAUGCGCUGCAAACCCCAUCUCUUCUCUUCUCUUCUUUUCUCUUAUCUUCUCCUUCAAACUCCCACAAAAAUCUUGUUGUCUUGCUUCCAUUGUUGCCUAGCUAGCUCCCUCGUCGGAUUUUUAAAUGUUUCAUAUCCUAAAUCUAUACCUGUUUUGUGCAAAUAUGAAUGAUCCUCUUUGUAUUCUUCCACAGCUUUCUUGAACUGCAUCUACUAUGAACUUGAUGAUUGUUGCAUGGCGGAUUCUUGUUUUUGUUUUGUUGCGGUUCAAUAAAGCUGUGGGAAGAUACUGAUAGGGUCAAGAAAGAAAGCUUUGCUACUUGUCGUCCGAUUCCAUGUCCUGUGUUCUUGUUCAUUUCACUUCUGCUUUCUUUAACAAGCAGCUUUUUGUAGACAAGAUUUAUGGUGGCCCAUGUGGUGAAAGUUCCAACUUCUAAUUGAGUUUAUAUAUAAUUAUUACAGGGCUUCUGAUCUGCAUCCAUACCUUGUCGGUUGAUACGAUAACAGUUAAUUUUUCCAUAAUUUUCAUACAACCAUGGAUUUGAUACAUACGAUCUGUUAGCUGCCUUGCUUUUCCUUGUAGUGUCAGUGAAUAAAUCUUGAUAAAAAUUGUCAAAUUAAUUAGGCUUAGAGAGCAGUCAUGGUAUUUCUAACUACAAUCUACAUGGACCACAACCUAAUUCAUGUUUCCAAUUAGUUAGGUAAACCUUCAAUCGGACAAGAAUAAACAUAAAACAAAUGCUACAAAUAUAUUAUAUAUUUCCAAUUUUUUAAAAGAAAUUAGCUGUAAAUAGAGCAACUUGGACAAAAAUAAUGCAUGAGGAAGCUUUCAGAAGGAAAUUUAGGGUCAUUUUGCCCUUUAAAAACAAAGGGAAAGGACAAGUAGCUAAAAAAAAAAAGACAUUGUCUUGUCUUAUUACUGCUGACAUAUUUUAAAAUCACUACAAGAAUAGUUAUAUUUUUACCUUUUUACAGCAAAUGAUUUCAUGGUUUUCUUGCCUAGCUUCUCCUUGGAUGUAAAUAUAGUAGAAACAAUACAACUUUUCUUCUGUGCUCUAGUUGUAGUGGUGGACAUUGCAUGACCAAACUAUAAGGAUCCCUAAUAGUUGGACUGAAAAAAAAUAAUAAUGUAAUAAUAAUAAUAAUAAAGAAACUAUUAGCUGGAUUUUCAGACACGAUGGUUGUCCUAAAUUCAUCCCAUUAAUAGGCCACCUCUUCUUUUUCUCUUUUAUACAGAUAACUAUUAUUGCACUGCUCUUAUAUUAAUUUCUUUAAGUUAGCCAACUAAUGUGUUAAUUUAUAAGCCGCCGAUCUUUUGUUCUUCUUUAUGAUUCUGCUUUAGUGUUUUCGUUUGCUUCUUGAAUGUAUAGUAUUUAAUUGACAUGGUUGCCUUCACUUUAGACAGCACAGUUUAUGGAAAACCAAUGUGGGAUCAGAAAAGUGUUCAUGUAUAAUUAAGAUUAAAAUGAAUUGAUGUAUUUCUUACACGUUCAUCCAAGUCAAAAGGUGGGAUUAGUUUGUCUGCUUACAUAUAUGUGUGUGUUUGUCAGGCUUCCUUUGGAGGAGAAAGACAUUAGGGUUAGGAAAAGGUUAAAUUUUCUUGUGCUUUGUGAAAGAAAUAAGAAUUAAAUAAAAUAGAUAAAUUAUGAAAUUGGACCUGAUA